rnacentral:rRNA from 1 species
UACGUAGGGGGCAAGCGUUAUCCGGAUUUACUGGGUGUAAAGGGAGCGUAGGCGGCGAUGCAAGUCAGAUGUGAAAGCCCGGGGCUCAACCCCGGGACUGCAUUUGAAACUGUAUUGCUUGAGUAUCGGAGAGGUGAGUGGAAUUCCUAGUGUAGCGGUGAAAUGCGUAGAUAUUAGGAAGAACACCGGUGGCGAAGGCGGCUCACUGGACGAUAACUGACGCUGAGGCUCGAAAGCGUGGGGAGCAAAC